GUCCGCACCGCGAGGCGAGCUGGCCGGGGAGUACGUGUGCAUCCGGCAGGCCGCCUCGGGGCCCAGAGAAGCCGCCCCCGACGGCCGCCUCAACUACAUCGACCUGGAGCUGAUCCCGCCUCUGCAGGCGCGGGGGGCCGACCCGGGGGACGCGCCCAGCCUGCACAGCUACGCGCGCAUCGAGUUCCAGAAGCUCAGGAACCGCCAGGAAGCUGCGCACCUGGAACCAAAGAAGAACUCAUUACCUUCCAGCCAGGCCUGAACUGAGAUGAAAGACCCCCUGACUAGAGCACUCCUAAAGUGAUGUGCCACACCCCAAAGCUGGGCUCCUUGCUUCCUGGACACAGCCAGUGGGGCCUAUACUGUGGGACCCCCCCUCAACCCUCAAAUAAAGGUGCUCCGCUGCUGAGGCUGGAAAAA